GCUCACAGCUGUACCUAAAGGUAAAACUACCAGAAACAAGCCAAGCUCACAGCUGUACCUAAAGGUAAAACUACCAGAAACAAGCCAAGCUCACAGCUGUACCUAAAGGUAAGACUACUAGAAACAAGCCAAGCUCACAGCUGUACCUAAAGGUAAGACUACUAGUAACAAGCCAAGCUCACAGCUGUACCUAAAGGUAAGACUACCAGUAACAAGCCAAGCUCACAGCUGUACCUAAAGGUAAAACUACCAGAAACAAGCCAAGCUCACAGCUGUACCUAAAGGUAAGACUACUAGUAACAAGCCAAGCUCACAGCUGUACCUAAAACUACCAGAAACAAGCCAAGCUCACAGCUGUACCUAAAGGUAAAACUACUAGUAACAAGCCAAGCUCAGAGCUGUACCUAAAGGUAAAACUACCAGAAACAAGCCAAGCUCACAGCUGUACCUAAAGGUAAGACUACUAGUAACAAGCCAAGCUCACAGCUGUACCUAAAGGUAAAACUACCAGAAACAAGCCAAGCUCACAGCUGUACCUAAAGGUAAGACUACUAGUAACAAGCCAAGCUCACAGCUGUACCUAAAGGUAAGACUACCAGAAACAAGCCAAGCUCACAGCUGUACCUAAAGGUAAGACUACUAGUAACAAGCCAAGCUCACAGCUGUACCUAAAGGUAAGACUACUAGUAACAAGCCAAGCUCACAGCUGUACCUAAAGGUAAAACUACCAGAAACAAGCCAAGCUCACAGCUGUACCUAAAGGUAAGACUACUAGUAACAAGCCAAGCUCACAGCUGUACCUAAAGG